UGUUAUUGGCCUGGGAUCUCAGGUGGGGGUUUUUUAUGAUAUGUAGCAAUGCAUGUGGAGAUGACCUCUAUUGAACCAACUGUUUUAAUCACUUGCAUCUUCAAACAACACGUGCAUAAGUUGGCAUUAUUAUUUUCUGCAUCUAGUAUCCAAAAUAUAUAACGAAUUUGGUUGACCCAUUUGGAUCGAGUUGACUCAAAUUAUCAUGGGCAUUAAGAUUAGCCUAUUUGCAAGGAAGGUCAUCCGUGCUUUUACUGUUGACAGUUUGUCUCAGGCUACGCUUAGUUUACAGUGUCUGAUA
rnacentral:misc_RNA from 1 species